ACCGCCCGAUGACUUCGGUGAGCCACGGGUAGUGCUGAGGAGCCGCUCAGAUUUCUCUGGGGGCGCGGAACACACGGUCAGCGUUUAACAACAAAAAAGAGAUCUUUGAUUCUCUUCUCUUUUGUUCCACAUGACACUCCCGGCUGCUGAGUCCAAGUCCGCUGGAACUCCACGUGUCUCCUGGUCUGCCAUUCCUGGGAGGACAUCGCCUUUGGAGUCCAUGUCCCUGACAGAGAGGCCGGAUCGGGAUGGCGUGUCCGCGCAGCCGAGGAGGUGCAUCCGCGGAGCGCAGCUGUCCCGGGGGACCCACCACCCAGCCGGUAGGGAGUUUCUUCUCUGAGGAAAUUCUGCCCCCGCCUCCGGCCCGUGCUCUUUCCGGUCCUUGCCCCGCGGAGAGGCGCGGUGAGCCUCCCGGGAAUUCGGAGCCUUUGAGUGCGUACGCGGUGUACGUCCCUGAGUGACACAGGUGUUCUGGGGCCUGCUAGGAGAAUUAGUGAAAUCCUGAGAAAACGUUCAUUUCCUUGUCUCUUUUGCCUCCAGCCUUCCCUUGAAAUAAAAA